GAUGAAGAACGUAGCGAAAUGCGAUACGUAAUGUGAAUUGCAGAAUUCAGUGAAUCAUCGAGUCUUUGAACGCACAUUGCCCCCCCUGGUAUUCCGGGGGGCAUGCCUGUCCGAGCGUCAUUGCUGCCCUCAAGCACGGCUUGUGUGUUGGGCCUCCGUCCUCCUCCCGGGGGACGGGCCCGAAAGGCAGCGGCGGCACCGCGUCCGGUCCUCGAGCGUAUGGGGCUUCGUCACCCGCUCUUGUAGGCCCGGCCGGCGCUUGCCGACACAUCAAUCUUUUUUCCAGGUUGACCUCGGAUCAGGUAGGGAUACCCGCUGAACUUAAGCAUAUCAAUAAGCGGAGA
rnacentral:misc_RNA from 1 species